UCAGGAUGAACGCUAGCGGCAGGCUUAACACAUGCAAGUCGAGGGCAGCGCGGGGUAGCAAUACUCUGGCGGCGACCGGCGGAAGGGUGCGUAACGCGUGAGCAACAUGCCCGUAUGAGGGGGAUAAGCACUGGAAACGGUGUCUAAUACCCCGUAACACUUUGGACCGCAUGAUCCGAAGUUAAAAGAUUUAUCGCAUACGGAUUGGCUCGCGUGACAUUAGCUAGUUGGCGGGGUAACGGCCCACCAAGGCGACGAUGUCUAGGGGUUCUGAGAGGAAGGUCCCCCACACUGGAACUGAGACACGGUCCAGACUCCUACGGGAGGCAGCAGUGAGGAAUAUUGGUCAAUGGGCGGAAGCCUGAACCAGCCAUGCCGCGUGAAAAGGAAUAAGGCCCUAUGGGUCGUAAACUUCUUUUGACGGGGAGCAAUAAGGGCGUCGAGCACGUCCGAUGAGAGUACUCGUCGAAUAAGCAUCGGCUAACUCCGUGCCAGCCGCCGC
rnacentral:rRNA from 1 species